AGAGUUUGAUCAUGGCUCAGAACGAACGCUGGCGGCAUGGAUUAGGCAUGCAAGUCGAACGCUUGUAGCAAUACAGGAGUGGCGAAAGGGUGAGGAACACGUGAGUAACCUACCCCCAAGUUGGGAAUAACACCGGGAAACUGGUGCUAAUACCGAAUGUGGCUGAUGAACCGCAUGGUUUAUCAGCUAAAGAUUUAUCGCUUGGGGAGGGGCUCGCGUCCCAUUAGCUAGUUGGUGAGGUAACGGCUCACCAAGGCAACGAUGGGUAGCUAGUCUGAGAGGAUGGCCAGCCACACUGGGACUGAGACACUGCCCAGACUCCUACGGGAGGCUGCAGUCGAGAAUCUUGGGCAAUGCGCGAAAGCGUGACCCAGCAAUGCCGCGUGCAGGAUGAAGGCCUUCGGGUUGUAAACUGCUGUCACCCGGGACGAAGAAUGACGGUACCGGGAG
rnacentral:rRNA from 1 species